rnacentral:rRNA from 1 species
CACAAGCGGUGAUGAUGUGGUUUAAUUCGAUGCAACGCGAAAAACCUUACCCACCUUUGACAUGUACGGAAUCCUUUAGAGAUAGAGGAGUGCUCGAAAGAGAGCCGUAACACAGGUGCUGCAUGGCUGUCGUCAGCUCGUGUCGUGAGAUGUUGGGUUAAGUCCCGCAACGAGCGCAACCCUUGUCAUUAGUUGCUACGAAAGGGCACUCUAAUGAGACUGCCGGUGACAAACCGGAGGAAGGUGGGGAUGACGUCAAGUCCUCAUGGCCCUUAUAGGUGGGGCUACACACGUCAUACAAUGGCUGGUACAAAGGGUUGCCAACCCGCGAGGGGGAGCCAAUCCCAUAAAGCCAGUCGUAGUCCGGAUCGCAGUCUGCAACUCGACUGCGUGAAGUCGGAAUCGCUAGUAAUCGUGGAUCAGCAUGUCACGGUGAAUACGUUCCCGGGUCUU